UACGGAGGGUGCAAGCGUUGUUCGGAUUUACUGGGCGUAAAGCGCGCGCAGGUGGGUGGACAAGUCGGAAGUGAAAUCUCGAGGCUCAACCUCGAGGCUGCUCCCGAAACUGUUCGCCUAGGGACUGGUAGAGGCUGGUAGAAUUCCCGGUGUAGCGGUGGAAUGCGUAGAGAUCGGGAAGAACAUCAGUGGCGAAGGCGGCCUGCUGGGCUGUUGCUGACGCUGAGGCGCGACAGCGUGGGGAGCAAACAGGG
rnacentral:rRNA from 1 species